rnacentral:snRNA from 1 species
CGAAUCAUUUGCUCGUGAGA